rnacentral:lncRNA from 1 species
ACGGGAAAGCUCCUUGGAACCUUGGUGGACAGGAUUUUAUUAGGAUUUAGUCAUAGAAGCAUUGAGCUCCAUAUGACUGACCUUAGCCCUAUUCAGUCUUCAGUACCACCACCCCCUACCCCCAGAUCUAACAGGUACAGUGUGGCCUAGGGCCCAAGGUAACGAAAAUAAGUUAAAUCACAAUGUCAGCAUAUUCUCUUUGGUGCGGACCAAGGCCUCAGGUUUACAAAGACACUGUCAGUAAGGAUAUUCCAGUGCUUUAGAGCUAAUCUCCCAGAAGCCUGUCAAGGGUCAUCCUGAAGACCUUUGGAUUGUGCAACGUUUGGAUAACCUCGGCCUGCUGAGUCAUCUCUUUUAGUGCGUGGUCAUGGUGCCAAAUACAGAGGCUUUUCACCUAAUUCUGAAUGCUGAAUUAUUUCUUUGGGGAAAGUGUCAAGGCAGUAUGGUUCCAUUGUCCUCAAAAUAUUGAACGGAAGCAGACAGCAUCACCUUACCUUGAACGGGCCUCUUCUGUGGUGUCUGAAUGCUAAAAGCAGGAUUGUCAGGCUGCUCCAGCAUAAGAGCCAGCUGCUGCCCAAGCACGUGGACAAACAUGGGAACACGCUUCAAAUCUUUCACAGGUAUAAUUUUUCACUAUCUGCUAAACACGCUAGUUCACUAUCUGCUAAAAUCUAGCCGUUGAUUAUCUCCUUCCUGUCUGACCCUUUGUUUGAUUCUUUUGCUAUGGUUCCAGAAUUAAAUUUCAGUUGAUACUGUUGUGGUAAAUUUCAUGUCGAACUUUCACUCUCUGUAAUGUUUUCUAUUUUUCACCUUGCCAGACCUAAAUGAAAUUUUUCAUCCUUUUUCUAUUAAAACAGCUGUGACCCUUUCUCUGAAUAUAAAUUUGUUAACUUUGGAGUUGCCAAAUCUUGAAGACAUCUGUAUGUGUCUUUCCAUUUACACUAUUAAUUUGUUUAUAAACAUGUAGUGUGUGUACAGUAGUUCUUUACCAGAGUAUCGGAACUACUAUGCCAGGAUUGGAUUCCUAGUUCUGCCACUUCACUAUCUCUGUGACUUUUGGCAAAUUAGUUUUCUUAUCUGCAUCUCAGUUUUAUAAUCUAUAUUGGGGUUGAUUAUGAUAAUGAUGGAUAGUUACCGAGUUUUGUUACUUGUCAUUUAAAUCCUAUAAUAGGAAAAUAGUACCUACCGCUUUAGGUUGUGGUUAGUAUUAAGUGAGUUAAAUUUAUUGUGAAUAGAAUAAUAUCUGAACAGAAGUGCACAGUAAAUAUUAGGAAU